CAUAGCGCCAAUGAAACACCCGAUCCCAUCCCGAACUCGGCAGUUAAGCAUGGUUGCGCCGAUGGUACUGCAGCUUAAGCUGUGGGAGAGUAGGUCAUCGCCA
rnacentral:rRNA from 1 species